GCGGGCUGGGAGCUCCCCCACUCGCCCGGACCGGGUUUGCCCGGAGGGUUGAGGGAGGAAGCGGCAGAGACCGCCGGGCCGAACCGCGGAUCUCGCGCCGGCUGGCUGUGGCGGCCAGGAGCCGCCUGGGAGAUCCCCGCGGUGAGACCUGUGAGGAGGACAAACGAGGCGAAGCCGCGAGUGCUGAGAGCCUUCCCUAGGACGCAAAAUUUAUGCUCCAGGAAACCCUCUACCCUCUCGGCUCCGAGGUUAGAGCCGCAAUUUGUGAGACUUUAAACAUGAAAUAUAAAGUUUGAAUCCAGAGUUGCCACGAGACCGGGCGUCCCAACCCCCGCCUCUCCCGGUUUGCGCCGCCCUUUUGGCUCGUCCCGAGGCUUCUGGAGAAGAACUUCCAGAUUCCUCUAUAAAAGUAAAGAUGAAAUAAGUGGAGAGUUGAGAAACGUGUACUCGAGCCUCCUGCCGCGCCACAUUCCCCCAGUUUAGAGCUGGGGACAGGGUGCAGCGACACCACGGGCCUCCCCCUCGUGAAGGUCGUGAAGGGCCUUUGCUGCUGGGCACAGGCGCUUCUUCUCCUCUCUGGGGUCUAGACUCAUUUCAACAAAUCUUUCCUGGGCAUUUUCUUGGCACCAGACACUGUGCGAGGGGCCGGACACGCGACUUCUUAAAAGACCUCCCCAACGGGGUGGUUGCAAUCUAAUCCGGGGGACAGCGACGUGCAAAAACCACGUUUGAAAGCAAUGGCUGCUAGAAUAGACUCCAAGUGCUGGGGUGUAAAUAGAGCAGAGCGACACUGCGUCUGCAAAGGGGCUGGGGGACGCUUUCCUGAAGGCCCUAGAGUUUGAGCUGGACCCUGAAACCUGGGAAGGCGGAGACUGCACUGGACCUUGAAACGUGGGAAGGUUUUAGAGGGUGUGACCAAAGGAGCCCAGUGGGCAAAGUCCAGGCCGAGGGCGAGGGCAGUGAGAAGGCUCAGGGUAAGCGAAGAAAAAGAACACGGGUCGCGGCAGACGCCCGGGAUGUGUGGGCGGGGCGGCCCCACUGAACAUUUAAACCCCAAAGGAUCUUCAGAAACACCCUAUGAAGUUUGAACUUGAGUCUGUGUGAGCAGUGAGUAGCCCAUCCCCAGUGAAGUGCCAAUGCAAGAGACUUGAGUCGUCCUUAUGCUAGAUUCAUUUAUGUUGAAAUGGCGGGCCAUGGCAGCGGCAGACCUCAAUUUAUGGGUUCAAGAUGAUAGGCUCUGGUGUGUGAUUAGAAGUUAUAUUAAUAAGAGAAGGAAGACAGGCUGGUCAAGGACCAGCUCCCCCCGCCCUUGUUUGUAUCAGAUCUUUAUUGUGGUUGACUCUAGUUUCAUAACACUGUGGUCAGAGAAGAUACAUGGAUUACCCACUUGGCCCUAACCUGUGACAGCUCUGGAGCUGCUAUAACAGACUUGCAUCCAACCCCCAUGUCGUGUGAUAACUGCUCCAGAUUCGGAAGGCACAGGGGCAAGACCUACAUCCGUCCACCCGUGUGUUGGAAAUAGGUUUGCCAGAUUCAGCAAAUACAAAUACAGGAUUCCCAGUUACAUUUGAAUUUCACAUAAGCAAAAGUCACCCACACCUUCUGCCUGACAUUGAGCACAAAUAUUUGGAACUGUGGCAAAUCAUCUGCUGAUACUACUUGGACAUGAAAGCAUGUGAAAAAAAUCAGCAUUGUGUCUACAUGAGAUGGGAAAACAGAGACCGAUGGAACUUGCCUUAGAGGAAGAUGGACAAAUGGAUUGGACAGUACAAGUAGAAGUUGACCCUCAUUUUCAACAUCCUCCACUGCCACGGACAGCGAGGACUGCCGGUACUUAGUGAUGACUAGAUCUGGGCCUUGACGUUGGAAGUGCAUAGAAAAAACUGGAAGAAAAGAUGUCAAAGUGUUAUUAAGAUCCAAAGGGGCACAUGCACCACAAUGUUCAUAGCAGCAUAGUCCACAAUAGCCAAACAAGAGCUGAGAUGGCCACUGAAUGGAUAAAGAAGAUGUGGUGUAUUGGGCAGCCUGGGUAGCUCA